rnacentral:rRNA from 1 species
GACGGAGGGUGCAAACGUUGUUCGGAAUUACUGGGCGUAAAGCGUGCGCAGGCGGCGCGUUAAGACAGGUGUGAAAGCCCCGAGCUUAACUUGGGAAUUGCGCUUGUGACUGGCGAGCUGGAGUGUGGCAGAGGGAGGUGGAAUUCCACGUGUAGCAGUGAAAUGCGUAGAGAUGUGGAGGAACACCGAUGGCGAAGGCAGCCUCCUGGGCCAGCACUGACGCUCAUGCACGAAAGCGUGGGGAGCAAACAGG